rnacentral:rRNA from 1 species
GUGGGGAAUAUUGCACAAUGGGGGAAACCCUGAUGCAGCGACGCCGCGUGGAGGAAGAAGGUCUUCGGAUUGUAAACUUCUUUUAUUAAGGACGAAGAAAGUGACGGUACUUAAUGAAUAAGCUCCGGCUAACUACGUGCCAGCAGCCGCGGUAAUACGUAGGGAGCAAGCGUUGUCCGGAAUUACUGGGUGUAAAGGGAGCGCAGGCGGGAAGACAAGUUGGAAGUGAAAUCUAUGGGCUCAACCCAUAAACUGCUUUCAAAACUGUUUUUCUUGAGUAGUGCAGAGGUAGGCGGAAUUCCCGGUGUAGCGGUGGAAUGCGUAGAUAUCGGGAGGAACACCAGUGGCGAAGGCGGCCUACUGGGCACCAACUGACGCUGAGGCUCGAAAGUGUGGGUAGCAAACAGGA